GGAUCAUUACAGAAGGUAACCUUUUUGGUUCACUCUUCAUAUCCCUUUGUCUACCUACUCUGUUGCUUCCAUGGUGCCAGCCAAGUUGGCUCUGGACAGGUGCUUCACGGUAUCUGUUUGGAAGUGCCCAUGGGUGGUCCCCUUUCUGGUAACUUCUGUUAUCUGGGUCGGGGACCUUAACUCAAUAACCCUUGUGAUCAAUUUGUCUGAACAAAGUUAUAUAAACGAAUAAAACUUUCAACAACGGAUCUCUAGGCUCUUGCAUCGAUGAAGAACGCAGUGAAAUGUGAUGAGUAAUGUGAAUUGCAGAAUCUCGUGAAUCAUUGAAUCUUUGAACGCACAUUGCGCCCUAUGGCUAUUCCGUAGGGCAUGCCUGUCUCAGUGUCAUUCAACACCCCUCAAGCAAGUUUUGCUUGGAUCAUUUGGAGUAUGCAGGUGUCUUCUGACCCCGCAGCUCAGAAAACUAUAGGCAGUGUCCACUUUGUCUUGACGCAAAUAAUACUAACAUUAUCAUCUGAACAAGUCAGUGGAAGUAUUUGCCAGAAACUGAAUAUUUUCUUUUGAGGUUGACCUGAGAUCAGGUAGGGAUACCCGCUGAACUUAAGCAUAUCAUAA
rnacentral:rRNA from 1 species